rfam:Brassica napus, WGS project CCCW01000000 data, contig: 18014
AAGAGGAAUGAGGAGAAUUAUCCAACGUCUAUUAGUUCUGAACAAUAGUGUUGAACCAAUGACAUGCACUACCAUCUGACCUCUU